UGGGGAAUAUUGGGCAAUGGGCGAAAGCCUGACCCAGCGACGCCGCGUGAGGGAAGAAGGUCUUCGGAUUGUAAACCUCUUUCAGCAGGGAAGAAGAAAGUGACGGUACCUGCAGAAGAAGUCACGGCUAACUACGUGCCAGCAGCCGCGGUAAUACGUAGGUGGCGAGCGUUAUCCGGAAUUACUGGGUGUAAAGGGUGUGUAGGCGGGGUGUCAAGUCAGGCGUGAAAUGCAACGGCUCAACCAUUGAAUUGCGCUUGAAACUGAUACUCUUGAGAGUGGGAGAGGUAAACGGAAUUCCUGGUGUAGUAGUGAAAUGCGUAGAUAUCAGGAGGAACACCGGUGGCGAAGGCGGUUUACUGGACCACAACUGACGCUGAGACACGAAAGCGUGGGGAGCAAACAGG
rnacentral:rRNA from 1 species